CAGCACUGCUUCCAGUCACUUCUCCCUCACUUUCUCAGAAGAAAUGGAUGAUAAUUUAUCAGGCCAUUGCACAUUGAUCUAAAAAGUCCAGCUCUUCGUAGAAAGACGAGUCCCUUUUGUGUCUCAGCACCUCUGAUGAGCAGAAACUGCUGUGAACCAGCAAACUUCAGCAUCCAGUUGUAAUGAGGGAAAAAUACUUACACUGUAAAUUUUAAAGGAGAAAGAAUAAGAUCAGCCCUGUGGAAACCACACAUAUGGAGGAGUUUGCAGAAGGCUGUGCCACCUCUGAGUGCCAAAUUGCAGUUCCAAGUAAUCUGCUUGGCCAGUAAUGGAAUGAAGCAGGGAAUACAACCCUAUACUACCUUUACUUGAAGGACUUCAAUCUGCUAUAGAAGCAUAAAGUAAUUAAAUCUCAUAACAGCUGGAAGAGGCAGGCAAAAGACCUCUUUUAUUUAAAGGGACUCUUUCCCUGUCUUAGAACAGGAGCCACAGCAGGUGCUUAACAGCAGAUUGCAACAGUCUACAUCUGCAAAGGGAAGAGAAGGGAAAGAACUAACAUGCCCACAAAAUGUUGAAGGGAAUUUGAUCCAGACUCAUCCUUUAUU
rnacentral:lncRNA from 1 species